GCCUGGGUGGCUCAGUCGGUUAAGUGUCUGACUUGGGCUCAGGUCAAAAUCUCGUGGUUCGUGAGUUCGGGUCUCAUGUCAGGUU
rnacentral:tRNA from 1 species